GGAAGGUAUAGCUCAGUGAUAGAGCAUGUGCCUUGCGUGCACAGGGUCCUGGGUUCAAACUCCAGUACCUCCU